GUAGGGAAUCUUCCACAAUGGACGAAAGUCUGAUGGAGCAACGCCGCGUGAACGAUGAAGGCCUUCGGGUCGUAAAGUUCUGUUGUAAGGGAAGAACAAGUGCCGCAGGCAAUGGCGGCACCUUGACGGUACCUUGCGAGAAAGCCACGGCUAACUACGUGCCAGCAGCCGCGGUAAUACGUAGGUGGCAAGCGUUGUCCGGAAUUAUUGGGCGUAAAGCGCGCGCAGGCGGCCUCUUAAGUCUGAUGUGAAAGCCCCCGGCUCAACCGGGGAGGGCCAUUGGAAACUGGGAGGCUUGAGUAUAGGAGAGAAGAGUGGAAUUCCACGUGUAGCGGUGAAAUGCGUAGAGAUGUGGAGGAACACCAGUGGCGAAGGCGACUCUUUGGCCUAUAACUGACGCUGAGGCGCGAAAGCGUGGGGAGCAAACAGGAUUAGAAACCCGAGUAGUCC
rnacentral:rRNA from 1 species